AUGGCCAACGAGACUCAGUGCUCUACUUGUAUCUGUUUUUAUCAGCUUAGUAUCUGGUACGGGUUGUAUUUGGACCUAAGAUAUUAGAGGUAUUUUUUUUUUAAUUUGGCGGAGUUCUUGAAGCCUGCUUCACCUCCAUGGUGGGACGGCUUUGUAUUGCACCAUCUCCGGAAUCGGCCCACGGUUC